rnacentral:rRNA from 1 species
AUUGAACGCUGGCGGCAGGCCUAACACAUGCAAGUCGAGCGAGCGGCGGCCGGGUGAGUAAUGUAUGGGGAUUUGCCCGAAAGAGGGGGAUAACUACUGGAAAAGGUGGCUAAUACCGCAUACUAUAGGAUGAACCCAUAUGGGAUUAGCUAGUAGGUGGGGUAAAGGCUCACAUAGGCGACGAUCUCUAGAUGGUAUGAGAGGAUGAUAAGCCAAACUGGGACUGAGACACGGACCAUACUCCUACGGGAGGCAUCAGUGGUGAAUAUUGCAAAUUGGGCGCAAGCCGGAUGCAGCCAUGCCGCGUGGAGGAAGAAGGCCUUAGGGGUGUAAAGUACUUUCAGCGUGGAGGCGUUACCCGCAGAAGAAGCACCGGCUAACUCCAUGCCAGCAGCCGCGGUAAUAC